AACGAACGCUGGCGGCAUGCCUAACACAUGCAAGUCGAACGAACUCUUCGGAGUUAGUGGCGCACGGGUGCGUAACGCGUGGGAAUCUGCCCUUGGGUACGGAAUAACUCAGAGAAAUUUGUGCUAAUACCGUAUAAUGACUUCGGUCCAAAGAUUUAUCGCCCAAGGAUGAGCCCGCGUAAGAUUAGCUAGUUGGUGGGGUAAAAGCCUACCAAGGCGACGAUCUUUAGCUGGUCUGAGAGGAUGAUCAGCCACACUGGGACUGAGACACGGCCCAGACUCCUACGGGAGGCAGCAGUGGGGAAUAUUGGACAAUGGGCGAAAGCCUGAUCCAGCAAUGCCGCGUGAGUGAUGAAGGCCUUAGGGUUGUAAAGCUCUUUUACCCGGGAUGAUAAUGACAGUACCGGGAGAAUAAGCCCCGGCUAACUCCGUGCCAGCAGCCGCGGUAAU
rnacentral:rRNA from 1 species